rnacentral:rRNA from 1 species
CCUACGGGAGGCAGUAGUAGGGAAUCUUCCACAAUGGGCGAAAGCCUGAUGGAGCAACGCCGCGUGGGUGAAGAAGGUCUUCGGAUCGUAAAACACUGUUGUUAGAGAAGAACGUGCGUGAGAGUAACUGUUCACGUUUCGACGGUAUCUAACCAGAAAGCCACGGCUAACUACGUGCCAGCAGCCGCGGUAAUACGUAGGUGGCAAGCGUUAUCCGGAUUUAUUGGGCGUAAAUGGAACGCAGGCGGUCUUUUAAGUCUGAUGUGAAAGCCUUCGGCUUAACCGGAGUAGUGCAUUGGAAACUGGGAGACUUGAGUGCAGAAGAGGAGAGUGGAACUCCAUGUGUAGCGGUGAAAUGCGUAGAUAUAUGGAAGAACACCAGUGGCGAAGGCGGCUCUCUGGUCUGUAACUGACGCUGAGGCUCGAAGGUGCGGGUAGCAAACAGGAUUAGAUACCCUUGUAGUC